rnacentral:rRNA from 1 species
UACGAAGGUGGCAAGCGUUACUCGGAAUUACUAGGCGUAAAGGGCAGGUAGGUGGUUUGAUAAGUCUGUUGUGAAAGCUCCCGGCUCAACUGGGAGAGGUCAACAGAAACUAUCAGGCUUGAGUAUGGGAGAGGGCACUGGAAUUCCCGGUGUAGCGGUGAAAUGCGCAGAGAUCGGGAGGAACACCAAUGGCGAAAGCAGGUGCCUGGACCAUUACUGACACUAAACUGCGAAAGCUAGGGGAGCAAACAGGAUUAGAAACCCCGGUAGU